rnacentral:rRNA from 1 species
GGUUUGAUUCUGGCUCAGAUUUUGAACGCUGGCGGGAUGCUUUACACAUGCAAGUCGAACGGCAGCACGGACUUCGGUCUGGUGGCGAGUGGCGAACGGGUGAGUAAUGUAUCGGAACGUGCCUAGUAGCGGGGAUAACUACGCGAAAGCGUAGCUAAUACCGCAUACGCCCUUCGGGGAAAAGGGGGACCUUCGGCCUCGCACUAGAGCGGCCGAUAUCGGAUUAGCUAGUUGGUGGGGUAACGGCUCACCAUAGCGAUGAUCCGUAGCUGGUUUGAGGACGACCAGCCACACUGGGACUGAGACACGGCCCAGACUCCUACGGGAGGCAGCAGUGGGGAAUUUUGGACAAAUGGGGGAACCCCGAUCCAGCCAUCCCGCGUGCGAUGAAGGCCUCGGGUUGUAAAGCACUUUUGGCAGGAAGAACGCAGGACCGGGAUAAUACUCCCGUGCAACUGACGGUAAAUUGCACUUAAACACCGGCUAACCACGUGCCAGCAGCCGCGGUAAUACGUAGGGUGCAAGCGUUAAUCGGAAUUACUGGGCGCAAGCGUGCGCAGGCGGUUCGGAAAGAAAGAUGUGAAAUCCCAGAGCUUAACUUUGGAACUGCAUUUUUAACUACCGAGCUAGAGUGUGUCAGAGGAGGUGGAAUUCCGCGUGUAGCAGUGAAAUGCGUAUAUGCGGAGGAACACCGAUGGCGAAGGCAGCCUCCUGGGAUAACACUGACGCUCAUGCACAAAGCGUGGGGAGCAAACAUAUCAGAUACCUAGGUCCACGCCCCAAACGAUGUCACUAGCUGUUGGGGCCUUCUGGCCUUGGUAGCGCAGCUAACGCGUGAAGUUGACCGCCUGGGGAGUACGGUCGCAAGAUUAAAACUCAAAGGAAUUGACGGGGACCCGGCACAAGUGGUGGAUGAUGUGGAUUAAUUCGAUGCAACGCGAAAACCUUACCUGACCCUUGACAUGUCUGGAAUCCCGAAGAGAUUUGGGGAGUGCUCAAAGAGAACCGGAACACAGGUGCUGCAUGGCUGUCGUCAGCCUGUGUCGAGAUGUUGGGUUAAGUCCCGCAAACGAGCGCAACCCUUGUCACGAAGCUACACGAAAGGGCACUCUAAUGAGACUGCCUAUGACAAACCGGAGGAAGGUGGGGAUGACGUCAAGUCCUCUCGCGGCCCUUAUGGAGUAGGGCUUCACACGUCACGUACAAUGGUCGGGACAGAGGGUCGCCAACCCGCGAGGGGGGAGCCAAUCCCAGAAACCCGAUCGUAGUCCGGAUCGCAUGUUCGCAACUCGACUGCGUGAAGUCGGAAUCGCUAGUAACGCGGAUCAGCAUGUCAGCAGAACAUGUUCUGGUCUUGUACACACCGCCCGUCACACAAUGGGAAGGGGUUUUACCAGAAGUAGUUAGCCUAACCGUAAGGAGGUGGCGAUUACCACGGUAGGGACCAUGACUGGGGGUGAAGUCGUAACAAGGUAACCCC